UGUGUGCAUGCGUGCAUGUACAUUUGCAUGCAAUCGACACACACACAUGAGAAACACCAAGAUGGUCAGUGUCUAAGUGCUAACUGAAAUAGAGAGGUUACAAACUCCCUGUGCCAUGGUGGCCAAAAGGACUUUUAGGAUGAGAUGACCAGUAUGUAGUUUUAAGUUAUUCGCUGUGUCAUGCAGGGAUAUAACUCUUUGAUGGUGACCUAGAAAACCUUAGCAAAAGUUUUGCUACACAUCCACAGGCAUUGUUCCCUUGUUGCUUCAGUGGGGAAUCAGGGAGAUAAAGGGUUGACCUCAAUGCAUAGAGCAGAGAACAGGGAUUCAGCAGAGGCAGGAAAUGGGAGAGAAAUCAGCAGAUGCAGGAACAUAUAUUUCCUUCUUCCAUUUUCCUCUCCCUGGGAAUUUUGCAGACAUUUUGAAGAGGUCUCUGCACUUAACAAUGGGUAUGGAAUGGGAUGUGACCUCUUUAAUUUACAUCAUUUGGGACAUCUACAUUAGGGUCUUACCACGCUGGUGGCUGCAGGAUUCAUCACACGAGUAAUUAUUCAAUUACUGGGAAUUGCCUUCCCCUGUAGAGAGUAAGCUCCUUGAGGGCAGGGACCAUGUCUUUUUUAUCAAUAAAGUUCAUAUUGGGCAGUGGUUCAGCCCCUAAAAUAAGUAUCCAAUUAAUAUUUAUUAAAUAGUUCCCUCCUAAUAGGGAAAAACUUUCAUUUAAAUACUCAUAGCAUCCCUUCUGCCCUCAGCUUGUGGUGCUACUUCCCUGAGGACAACUGUGUUUUGCCAGGCAGGCUCCUGGACCAGCACUUAUUGCUUGUGGAUGAUGGGGAGACCAGACGAGUUGGGAGAAGCCAGCCAGGUUUACACUGGAAAUAUCAAAGAACUCCUGACAAGAGAAAAGUAGUGGAUACAGACAGUGGGAGGGGAGACAGAGAAGACAUUUUGUGGGAGUUGAGUUUGAGAGGUUUGGGGAUCUUGGAGAGGGAAAAGAGGGUCUUUGGAGGCAGGUGCAAGGCAUAUGAAUGCACACACAAAUAUGAUUCUUCUGUGGAUAAAACUGGAAGAAAAGGUGGUUUCAGUCAGUUUUGGUGUGUGUUGUGUUACCAGUGUGAUCUCUGGACAAUUUUAAUAGAUUUCAGUAAAGAUAAAAAUUGCUUCUUGGUUAGUUCUGGCUGUAUUUCUUUUCUUUUCUUUUUUAAAGAUUUUAUUUUUAAGCACUCUCUACACCCAACAUGGGGCUCAAACUCACAACCCUGAGAUCAAGAGUCACAUGCUCUACCGACUGAGCCAACCAGAUGCUCCCGGCUGCAUUUCUUUGAAUGAGACUCCAGACUAAGGCUGACUGCUAGGUAUUUUUAAAAUCCUGGGCCCGAUGCCACCUGUCAGGAAACACACACUCUGACAUCUCUCACAAGUGCUGCAGGGAGGAGGCAUGAUGCCCAACAAUGACCCGACAGGAGAUGUGAUCCCUCUGGAAGCUUCCAGACACUGUGCUCCUCAUUGGGCUCAGGUGUUGAGUGUCAAGCAGAUGAGCCUGAGGUUAUUCAGGACCCUGUCAGGUCAUUCAGAGGAACAAAACCACAACAAACUGACCGGAACCUUUGAUGUCUGGAAGAAGUUCACUGCCUGUGCCAGCCAGGGGCUGUCCCACCACGUUCUUGUCGGCCUGAAAGAAAAGAAAGGAGGAACUCAGGAUUCCAAACUAAUGGCCUGGUGUUGGAAGCUGCUUGGGAGUAUGAGACAUGCAGAUAAAAAGAGGCACUAAGAUGCACAGGUACUGCACAUCUAUGUGUUCCAGGCACUGUACUGUGCAGUUGGGAGCUGCAGAUCCAUACCCAGAAAUAUUUAUUUAGAGGAAUGAUGGACCCUUUUCUGGAGCCAAUCACAAUCCAGUGGGGAGACAGACAAGUCAGCAAAGCGUUCCAGUGCCAUAUAACAAACGCUGUGAUGGAGGAAAGUGUGAGUGCUCAGGUAACCUCAGAGAAGGGAGGGCCUACCUCUGGGCAAGGUGAGGUGACCCCUCACAAGAGGCAUUAUUUGAAAAGAAUCUUUAAAAAGCAGGAGUUGAUGAGGCAAAUGAGGGACGGAGAAACAGAGUUUUCUUACCUUCUU